UCGAGUUUUUGAACGCAAGUUGCGCCCGAGGCCAGCCGGCCAAGGGCACGUCUGCCUGGGCGUCAAUCGUUUCGUCGCUUCGUGCCAACUCAAUCACACCUAAGUGUGUGUCGGCCAAGGCUCGGACGUGCAGAGUGGCUCAUCGUGCCAAUUGGUGCG
rnacentral:rRNA from 3 species